rnacentral:tRNA from 1 species
GGAGAGAUGCUCGAGUGGCUUAAGAGGCACGCCUGGAAAGCGUGUAGGCGCCAAAAGUGCCACGGGGGUUCGAAUCCCCCUCUCUCCG